GCUGGGUGUGGUGGCGGGUGCCCGUAAUCCCAGCUACUUGGGAGGCUGAGGCAGGAGAAUUGCUUGAACCUGGGAGGUGGAGGUUGCAGUGAGCUGAUGUUGUAGUGAGCUGAGAUUGCACCACUGCACUCCACCCUGGGUGAAAGAGCGAGACCCCGUCUCAA
rnacentral:SRP_RNA from 1 species